rnacentral:rRNA from 1 species
AGUGAACGCUGGCGGUAGGCCUAACACAUGCAAGUCGAACGGCAGCACAGUAAGAGCUUGCUCUUACGGGUGGCGAGUGGCGGACGGGUGAGGAAUACAUCGGAAUCUACUUUUUCGUGGGGGAUAACGUAGGGAAACUUACGCUAAUACCGCAUACGACCUACGGGUGAAAGCAGCGGAUCUUCGGACCUUGCGCGAUUGAAUGAGCCGAUGUCGGAUUAGCUAGUUGGCGGGGUAAAGGCCCACCCAGGCGACGAUCCGUAGCUGGUCUGAGAGGAUGAUCAGCCACACUGGAACUGAGACACGGUCCAGACUCCUACGGGAGGCAGCAGUGGGGAAUAUUGGACAAUGGGCGCAAGCCUGAUCCAGCCAUACCGCGUGGGUGAAGAAGGCCUUCGGGUUGUAAAGCCCUUUUGUUGGGAAAGAAAAGCAGCAGGUUAAUACCCCGCUGUUCUGACGGUACCCAAAGAAUAAGCACCGGCUAACUUCGUG